rnacentral:rRNA from 1 species
UACGAAGGGUGCAAGCGUUAUUCGGAUUGAUUGGGCGUAAAGGGUGCGUAGGCGGUAUGUUAAGUCAACUGUUAAAUUUCUCGGCCUAACCGGGAGUCGGCAGUAGAUACUGGCGUGCUUGAGGAUGAGAGAGAGAAGUGGAAUUCUCGGAGUAGCGGUAAAAUGCGUAGAUCUCGAGAGGAACACCGAUGGCGAAGGCAGCUUCUUGGCUCAUUCCUGACGCUGAGGCACGAAAGCGUGGGGAGCAAACAGG